AUGACGGGCCGCCUUACAAGUGGACGGUCCGAAAGGCGACUCUGCUUCUGUGCCGGGUUUAUCACCGUUGCCCGGAGCCACCGGCUCCCCACCCCUACCCUGUGCAAAUACACAGCGGAUAGCAGGCAACAGCCGGACUGCGGGAAGGACUGGAAGAAGACUGGACUCACUUUCCUGUGUUUGACAGCACAUUUGUGUCCUAUUCAGGGAACAGAGAUGGUAUUUGGCAAAGUUGUUUGA
rnacentral:lncRNA from 1 species